rnacentral:lncRNA from 1 species
AAAAAGACAAGGCAUCAUCAUUUGAGAAGUUCGAUUCCAAACGUCCUGAGUUUUUUGGUUAUCAUUACGACGACAAUGAUAAAAAAGACAAGUCAACGUCAUUUGAGAAGUUCGAUCCCAAACGUCCUGAGUUCCUUCACUAUGGUUACAACGAUGAUGAUAAAAAAGACAAGUCAACGUCAUUUGAGAAGUUCGAUCCCAAACGUCCUGAGUUCCUUCACUAUGGUUACAACGAUGAUGAUAAAAAAGACAAGUCAACGUCAUUUGAGAAGUUCGAUCCUAAACGUCCUGAGUUCUUUCACUAUGGUUACAAUGAUGAUGAUAAAAAAGACAAGUCAACGUCAUUUGAGAAGUUCGAUCCUAAACGUCCUGAGUUCUUUCACUAUGGUUACAAUGAUGAUGAUAAAAAAGACAAGUCAACGUCAUUUGAGAAGUUCGAUCCUAAACGUCCUGAGUUCCUUCACUAUGGUUACAACGAUGAUGAUAAACAAGACAAGUCAACAUCAUUUGAGAAGUUCGAUCCUAAACGUCCUGAGUUCCUUCACUAUAGUUACAACGACGAUGAUAAAAAAGAUAAGUCAACGUCAUUUGAGAAGUUCGAUCCUAAACGUCCUGAGUUCCUUCACUAUGGUUACAACGAUGAUGAUAACACUGACAAAUUAUCAUCUGUUCAAAAUUUUGAGCGUUGGGUUCCUCUUCCAUCAUUUCAUUAUACUUACAGCGACGAUGAUAACACAGAGAAAUCAUCGUCAUUUGAGAAAUUUGAUCCCAAACAUAAGAACUUGCUUCACUAUCACUACAACGACAACAAAGAAAAAUCAUCACCGCUCGAGCAUAAUAAGCCGUCGUCUCUUAUUGAAGAGAUCCCAGGCGGCAACAAUGAUCAUAAGGAGACCAUGUAAAUUAGGCAUCCAGAGGAGCAUAUGGGUUUUAAUGAAAUUGUAUAAUGUUUUAUGUAUUUAAACGUUAUGUCCUCUAUGUAUGGGAGUGCUUACUUAUUAAAGAAAAAUAAAAAUGGCGUCGCCAUAUAUGAUAAUUGAAUAAAAGUAACACUUCAUUUCCUUCCUCUUUUCUCAAGCAAUUUAGUUUUCUUUAUCUAUUGUCUUUGUUCGUAGCUAAACACACAAGGUUGCCAAUUUAGUCGGAUUAUGAUAAAAUAUAUGUAUUAUUAUAUAUAUUUAACUUUAAAAAUAAUAAUUAACGAUAUGUGUAAAGGAGAACAUCAAAAUCCUAGCAACUUUCUCUCUCUUUUUUUUUUCCAUUGCAAUCGUUUUCUUCUUUCUCCAUCAAAAGCCAAGAAUCAAGCAUGUAGGUUUAUAUAUAUAUAUAUAUAAACCUGUAACUUACAUUAUUUUAAUGACAUUGUAGAUUUAUACAUUGAAUAGUAUUACUGAUUUAUUUAGUAGAAUCAAUAGUGUAAUUUUCCUUUGAAUUCUAGAAUAUAAAUAUAUUUUUCUUUUUCCUAGUAAGUGCAUUCUUGUGCUUAUAAUUUUUUUUAGCAUUAAAUAUUUUGUUUUUUAAAAGCCUAUAAAUCCUGAUCUCAAAACAGGUAAUUUUUCGUGUUAAUAUCAUAUUUUUUAAUGAAAAAUCCUUACCAUUUAUCAAAUCUCAUGUAAUUAUUGCCUUUUGGUUUGUGGUUGUGGUUUAUAUGUAAUUUCUUAAGUACUUUGGAUAUGUUCGGACAAAAUUUGUUGUUUUGAUAGCUAUUUAUUAUUUGAAUAAUAUUUAAUGGUCAGUUGUUUUAGUAGUUUUUCAUAAAAUGAUAAAAGUUAAACGUUACAUGAGUUAACUUUUUAAAUAUUAAAUUAUAUAACGAGAUUGAAUUAUUUGAAAGUACAUGAAAUAUACAUAAUAUAAAUGGUUCAAGUAAAACUUUAAUUACAAGUAAAUUAGAAUCUCAAAAUUUAUAAAUUAAAUAAUAAAAAUAAUUAUUUUAUAUAGAUAUAUAUUUCUUUUAAUUAAGAAACUUGAAAAAAUAUAUUAAGUACAAAUUAUAAAUUCAAAUUUAUAAAUUAGAGGUUAUAAAUUCAUGAUAUAUGAACCUUUAUAUUACAUAGUUGUAAACCAAACAAAUUUUAUUCAAAAGCUAUAUAAGUAUAGAAUAUGUUUAUUUUUGAACAAAGUAAAACAGAAUUUAUAAUGAAAAUAAGAUUGAUCAAAUUUAAAUUUAAAGAUUAAUUAGUUUUAAAAUAAUUAUUUUAUAUAUAUGGACCAGUGUAAUUUAAUAUUUUAAAAAUUAAAUAAAUAUUUUUAUGACCAAAUAUAUAAUGUGGAUUAUUUAAAAAAAUAAAUGAAUUUAAAAUAAUUAAGACUAGCUAAACUACAAAUUAGAAGUCACAAGAUACGAUAUAUAUAAUUUAAUAUAUAUAAUUCGAUAUUAUAAAAGGGGAGAAAUUUAUAAGUCUAGCAUUUAUAUAUAUAUAAUAUAAUUUCAAUUGCAUAGGUACAUAAUAAAUUUUUUAACACUAAGAUAAUAAAAUUUUAUAGUUAUUUAUUCAAAGUUUAAAUAAUUUAUUUUGAUUAAAUAUAUUUGAAAUAUUGGAUAAUUAUUUAUCUGUGAAUUUUUUUUAUGUUUGUGUUGAAAAUAGUUUUUUUUUUUAAUUUACACAAUUAAAUAGUUUUUUAUUUUUAAUAAUAUUAAAUAAAUAUUAAAUAAAAAAUAAAUAUUAAAUAAAUAUUAAAUUUUUAAUAAUAAAUAAUAGUUUUUUUGAUAACCAAUUCUAUAGAUAACAAAUCAUUUGCUAAAAGCUCCGCCGAUCAGACCAUCUCACAUCACCGACAACGCCUCUACAGGGGCUUCAUCCACACUAUCAUCAUCACUUAUAGUUAUCAUCCUUUGAAUCAAUAAUGUAAUUUUCCUUUGAGUUCUAGAAUAUAAAUAUAUUUUUCUUUUUCCCAGUAAGUGCAUUCUUGUGCUUAUAAUUUUUUUUAGCAUUAAAUAUUUAGUUUUUUAAAAGCCUAUAAAUCCUGAUAUCGAAAAAGGUAAUUUUUCGUGUUAAUAUCAUAUUUUUUUAAUGAAAAAUCCUUACCAUCGAUCAAAUCUCAUGUAAUUGUUGUCUUUUGGUUUGUGGUUGUGGUUUAUAUGUAAUUUUUUAAGUACUUUGGAUGUGUUCGUCAAGAUUAGUUGUUUUAGCAGCUGUUAACUGUUUGAAUGACAUUUAAUGUUUAGUUGUUUUAGUAGCUUUUCAUAAAAUAGUAAAAGUUAAACUUUAUAUGAGUUAACUUUUUAUAAAUUGCUGGCUUAAUCUCUAUAAGUUAGUUCAAAAGUUAUAUUACCGAACACUAUAAAAAAAUACGUUUAACAUUUUGACCAAUCAAAAUAUUAAAAGCUACUUAAAAAACUAUUACCGAACACGACCUUUGACUUGUAGUUUUUUUGCAAGUGGUUGCUAAGCCUCAACUUGUUGUUACUGAAUUAAGAAUUUAUGUCAAGAGUUUAUUAGAAAUAUGUAGGACUUAUGAAUAUAAUAUUCCUUUAAAUUUUCACUAUUUUGACUUUUUUUAACCUGUUUCAAAGUUACUAGUUAAAUGAUGAUUGUUUAAAUAAAAUUUUAUUUAAAUAUUAUGAUUAAUAAAAUAAUUAACUGUGCCAAUCAGAUAUAAUUUUAUUAAUUUUUUUCAUUUAUAUGAAGAGUGAGAGAUCUAGAGUUCGAGUCCUCUUGAUCACAAAGUUUUCACCAAUUUAGUGAAUUAAAGAGAACUUUAUUCAUAUUGUGUAGCGCAUGGUAUUAUUUAAGCCAUUUUGGCCUUCUACUGGAUAAAAAAAAUUCACUGUAAGCAGCAAAAACUGUAAAUAAUUGCUUAUACCCAUUUCGACUACUCAUCCAACUACCCAUUUACCAACUAUCAGAAUCACAUGGUUGGUAGCCUAUUAUUGAUAACCAAAUAACUAUAUAUCCAUCUGCCACUGUCAAUCAUCACAAAUAACUAAACCAGAAUGAUUUUUAAAUGAUUAUCCAUGGUGUGUCUCCCUAAAGACAAGAAAAGGAAAAGGAAAACAUUGGACCACACCUAUGUAAGGAUGAAGGAAGGGUGUGAGGAGUGUCUCAAGUUCCUUUAACCAUAAUUUUCUUUUAUAUUUAUCUUCUAAAAUAUUGAAGAUUUUUAAUUUUGCUCCUUAAAUUUCAAGUUUUUUGCCGUACCGGCCCCAUUAUUACACGUGUAAAAUCUAAUUAUACUUUAUAUUUAGAUAAACUAUAGUUUUGGCCUUAAACUUUUCGAGUUGUUCCAAUUUCACUCUAAAUUAACUUUUAUUUUGCUGAAUUUUGCAUAUGUUAUUUAAUUGUAUCCAUAGUUUUAAAAUUGGACUUAAUUGAAAGAGACUAAAGAAAAAAUAUGAGAUCCACAUAUUUUCUGUGGGUUAAGGUAAUCCAAUAUUGUUUAACUAGCGAAAAAUGCAUUACUCUGUAUAAGGAUAAGACUUGCUCACACUCAAUAUGUAUGGGUGGUUCUAUAGACGAAACCAAUAAAAAAGAUUGUUUUUAAAAACUCUUACGCUCUAUCCUUUUUGUUUGUAUGAUAAAAAAUGCUUUCAUUUGAAACAAAUCACUUUUUGUGAUUAGUUUGUAAAUGAGUGAGUUCAUUCACUGACAUUGAGUGCAGGUAAGUCUUUCCUUUGUAUAAAGGGAAGAAAAAAAAGACAAAACAAACUUCAAAAUCAUUUAGAUUAUGUGGUAUGCUUCUAUAUUAAAGUGAAUUAUUAUUCAAAUAUGUGAAAAGUGAGAAGUCUGGAGUUCUAAUCCACUCGAUCAUAAAAACUUUCACUAACUUGGAGAAUUAAGGAAAGAAUUACUCUUAUUGUGUAGCCUAUUAAAUUAUUUUUGGCUCGUCUAAUUACUUCAUUAUGGUUACAAUUUGAAAACUUCGGAGGCAAGACCAAAUCCAUCUAAGUGGCCCUAAUUUCUUUCUUUCCUAUUCAAUUAUAAGAAUGUCUUUCAACUUUUAUAUUCACCCUACAAUAUCUUCUUCCCGCACGAGGAUAAAGAACAAAAGGAUAGUGUGAAAUACGUUGAAUUUUUAGAAUCUAAUGGGGUCUUCCCUAAAAAAAUGAUUUUAGAUUCCAUGGCACGCUGAGUGAAUUAUUAUUGGAAACACGAAGUUGUCAAGAUUCCGUGGCUUUGUUUUGCUGUUUUUGUUUUUUCUAAAUAAAUUAGAAUAUUAAUUUAUUUUUACAUGAAAUAAUAAAAACAAAAUGAUUGAAUAUAAAUUAACAAAUAGAGUAAAAGCCUUAACACCUAUAAAAUAAUAAUUGAGGAAAAUUAAUAAAAUUUAGUAAAAAACCGAUCAUAAUUGAAAUUUUGAUAUUUUAGUUGUGUUAGGCAACAGUUUUUUUGAGUAGCUUUUAACAUUUCGACUGGUUAUAACACUAAAUACUAUUUUGUAUAAUCUGAUUUCUGUAAUGACAUUAGCGCCAUUAAUAAACUAAUUGUUUCUUUUGUUACCUAUGGAUUUUAAUAUUGGAACUUUAUAGUAUGUUGCUACUUUACGAGAACAAUUGGAACAACUGGCUGAAGAGAGAACUCUAGAUGGCUUACCUAGGUAUGCGUGCUUUCUUUUAUAUCUUCUCUUAAAUUUGUUUUGAAUUGUAAUUGAACUUUGAAAAACUUUAAUCAAAUUUUCAUGGAUAACCAAUAUUGGAACUUUUUGUAAAUGUCCUUUUCAAGGAAAAUUGACUUGUUAAUAAUACAUCUAAGUUCUUUGAUUGUGAGCCAGAUUUCUCUUCCCCUUUGCAUUUGAGUUGGCCUUUUCUGUUCGGUAGCCAUUAUCAAUCCAAUAAAUCAAAUGUGGCUGGAGUUGUAUUUUAUGUAACAAUCUCUAAGAUUUAAAUGCAGUGCUACUUUUAACUUCUCUUUGAAUACAUUUCAACAGAGUUUCAAAGGCUAAGGUCAAUGAUUAUUCAGAAAAGAUUGAAGCCAUUGCUUCCAGAUUAGCUGCCCCAUUGGUGCGUUGCAUUGGAUACUUUUAAAUUAUUAAUGUGAUUGUGAACUUUAGCAACACUUCUAAAAUUAGUUGCACUAGCAGAUAUUUGAACAUAGUUCGAAGAGUAAGUUUUCUUCUUUUCAUUUCCUCCCUCAAGGGACUAAAAACUGUUGAAAUGCCAUUGCCAUUAUAAUGUGGUAGAGCUUCAAUAACUGUGAUGUAAACAGACUGAAGAUACGGGGUUAUGUUUCUGUAGAAGAAAACAUAAGAGCAAAUCUUGACCGAUUUCACUUUUGUUGAAAAGACUGUACAUAGGAUUUUGAUAUUACUGUCCACAAAUUAAUUCUUUUUUUUUUUAAUUAUCUCUUGAAUGAACUGUUCUUCUUCCCUCUCAGCUAAUAUGUUGACUUCAUGGAUUGCAAUACAUUCUCCUUGGUUUAAUUGCUUUUGUUGCCUGUUCUACUUCUUCUAACUGUUCCCCCCUUUGGUUACAGUGACUAAGCGUACUGAUUACAACUUAAAAGCAUACUAUAUGUUGUUUGUGUCAUCUAACCAUGCAUGCAAUCUAUGAUGUUGCCUCAAUUUGUUUGUCCUAUUAAUUGUCAGUAUUGGCAGUGGUUGAUGUUGUAACAUCUAACCAUUUUUUAUGCGGCUAAUUCUCAGCCUCAGAUUCGGUAUCUGAAGAGCCUUUUGCUGAGAGUUCAAUGAGCGAAAGUCCUAAAGCAGAUGGAGAAACUCAGUUCCCUUCUUCUCCUGGCUUGAGAAGAAGACUUGUGUAAUGAAUCUCUAGUUGUUAGGAUUUAUGUGAUUCAUGCAAUUUCCCUUUUGGUGUUCAUUUCUUUUUCCUCCUUCUGUUUCUAUAUUUAUUUCAUUAUGAUUUUUGUUGUUCUUUGAACAGGGCAGCCCCAAAUUUUGAUGAUAGAACUCAUGAAAUCACUCAGGUUGAUACAUCAGCCCCUGUCAAACUGGAUGCUGCAGCAAAAACACACAUUGAAAAGCACAGGUACUUUUACUGUUUGAUUGGGGUACACCCAAUCAUGAUGUGAUAAUUUCAAAGAUUACAUAGUAAUCCACUCUUAGAUCUGUAAUCUAAGUUUUUCAAGUAAAAAUGUUGCAUUUAAUUCUACAUAAAACCCAGUGGAGUUCCACAUAAACUCAUACAGCCAUUGUUUGCUAAAGAUGCAUUGACUACAGACCAAGGAUGGUCCUCUUGAGGGCAUUGGGUGAUUAUUCAUGAUUCUAUUUGUAGAGGUGUGCAUCAGUGGAUUCGGUUUGACCGAAUUAACCAGUAAUCAAAAUAGGGGAAACUAAACCAAAUUGAAUUACAUAUAUGAAUCAAACAUUUUGGUUCAGUUUGGUUGGCUCCAUACUGAAUCCUUUUGUUCUUGUGUGUGUGUGUGUGUGUGUGUGUGUUGUUUGGUUUUUUUGGUUAAAAUGAUCAUCUGAAGACCGAAACAUGGUUAACAUGUUCAUCUGAUGACUGAAACAUGGUUAACAUGGUUGGCUCCAUACCAUGGUCAUCUGAUGACCGAACCAAAUAAGAGGCCCAAAUCUUUGCUAAUCGAAUCAAACCACAUAUUUCGGUUUGGUUAGUUGGUUAUUACCAACUAAUGCACACCCUUACUCCCCUAGCUAUUUUGGCAUUUCAAUGGGAUAAUGUGUACACCAUAAGCAAGAUAGUAGUGGAAUUUUGGUGUAACAUGGUGCCCUGCUUGGCAUCAGCCUAGUAUUGUUCAGAGAGCGGGACAGAACAAGUAUUUGAGCAAGAGGGGAACUGGGAUUGGAGUGGAAGGUAAGUCAGACACCAAAUUGAUCUUUAAUAUUUAUUAUGUUUCUUUCCCUACCGAGACGAAAGCCAAAGGUGAGUCUCGUAGGUGGACGUAUUGAACCGAAAAAAGAUCUCACUCCCCUGUCUCAACUCGCUUUCCAGGGAUAAGGUGAAAAUGAAAGGUUCAUUGCAAAUUGGAGUUUAUUGCAACAGGAUUUACAUAAAUAACAAUGCUUCAAUACAUUUAAAGUUUCUUAGUCCUCCUUCUUGACUGUUGCUUAUAGUACUAUAUUUAUAACGGUACAAUGUAGUUUCCUGAAAGUAAUAUGAUUAAUGAGUAAAAUUUUCAUGAUAUAGGCAGAGAUAUUCAAAAACAUAAUUUGUUCUGCAUAUUUUCUUGCUCCAAGUUCCAAAGAUUGAAUCUAGGACUACCUAGUUGCUUCAAAGAUCAUCAACUUCUGAUUAAACUUUUGUAUCCUAUUGCAGAAAGCUUCAAGAAGACCUGACAGAUGAAAUGGUUGGGUUGGCACAACAACUAAAAGAGAGUAGUCUCUUGAUGAGCCAGUCCUUGCAAAAUACUGAAAAGGUAAUGAUUUUUGGAACCAAAUGUAUUACCUUCUGAGGAGAUGUGCAAUUGUAGCUUUGGUGAGUGAUUCUGCAUGUUCUGGGGAGGCAGCAUUAGAGGAUCGCGUAAUCCAUUAUUCUUUGUGUACAAGUUAGCUAAUGAGUAUCUCUAACAUGGUAAUGAUUUAGAAACUACUAGGAUUGUGAAGAAGUGUCAUUUUCCUUCUGCCAUUAAUUGAUUGAUGUGAAGCGUCUGAGUUCUAUCUUAAAAUUGCUCAGAUUUGUAAAUGCUGUGAAGGAGAGGUUGGGAGUGGCAAUCAGAGAGAUAUCUAUAGCAGCAUUUUUCUGAAUUUAAUCUGUGGGAAUUGAUGUUCUAUUGAGGUCUUGUAUUUUGACAUACUAAUCACUCUAUUAAGCGAUGAAAGUUGCUAGGAUAUGAAAUUCUUCUUGAUUAAUGAUGAAUUGAAGAACAACUACUGAACCAUUUCUGUACUCAUGCAGUAAUCGAUAAGCUGCUAAUUGUGUUAAUUGACUUGGAAUGGGCCCUUAAGGAAUUAACAAGUACAGAUCUAUAAAAUUGUAAAAGCCAUAAGAGGACAGGCUUUUAUAAGAAAAAUCUACCCUGUAAUUUUUUUUUCCCUACCAAUGAUUGGAUGGUGGACUCACCGACAAAUGAGGUAAGGGAAAUUGAGAAGCAACUUUCUACUUCAACCUUUUUUCUUCUUGAUAUGGUAAACAACUUGCCUUGAGCUCAUAAUUUGUUUGUAUUUUUCAAUUUUCUUUGAAAUAAUGGCAGUAGCAACUAAAACUUCUAGUUGAUGAGUGUAUGCAUCAUGAAUUUCUACAUUACCACUUAUCAUGUGGAAAUUCAGAUUUCUGUUCAUUUACGUAUUAUAGAUACUUGAAUUUAAUACUUAUCAAAAUGUGAUUGCAAAGAUCAUGUAUAUCGAUCUGGGACUAUUUUUUAAACUGAUGCUCUUCUUGUACAUGUCAGAAAGUUUUUGCAUUCAAUGGCUGUAAAAAAAGAAAUACAUAAAUUUAUUAGAUGAAGCUAAAACAACAUAUAUGCAAGUUUUUAUUUCUAGUCUCAAAACCUAAAUGUUUGUUUUGGUGCAGAUACUCGAUUCUACAGAGAACGCUAUUGAGCAAAGCUUGGCAGGCACUGGCCGUGCCAAUGUCCGAGCCUUGGAGAUAUACUCGAAAAGUUCUAAAACUACAUGCUUCACUUGGCUUCUGAUUUUUCUAAUGACAUGUGUCUUCAUCAUGGUUGUACUCCUAAUUCGCGUCACUUAGAAGUUUCUUCAAGGUAAGCAAGUUUCGACAUGGUAAUGCUGCUGUCUUGCAAUGCGAGUCAAGUGUUUAACCAUUUGUUCAAAAUCAACUGGUUUUUUAUGAAAGUGGUGCCUAAUGAUUUAAUUUUUCUACCAGAAAUCAUUUUGUGACGAUACGGAGAUUAAUGACAAAUAAUAUGUAAUAUUUUCUUAUUCUGUGUUGUUUGAGGUUAUGUUGGGAUUUAUAUUUUAAUCGACGGACAACUGAUUCUGAAAUAAGUUUAACACUCAUAUUAUGAUUGUAUUUUUUUUUCUUUUUUCUUUUUUAAUAUAAUGUCUUUUAUUUUAUUUUGAAUUAAAAUAAAUAACUAGAAAACAUUACUAAACAAAAAUUAAUUAAUUAUUUUUAUUUAUAUACCAUAUUAAAAAAAAUGAUAGAUUCAUCUGAGAAAAUAAAAAGAAUAAUUUAGCUACCAACAACAAGAAUUUACUCUAGGGUGCUUGUUUUUUAAGAGAGGACCCAUAAGGAUAUUAAAGUGUAAAUAAUUAAAAUAUCAAUAAAAGUGGCAAAGUAUUUACUCUAGGGUCCUUGUUUUUUAAGGUAAUCAGUGGUAUUAUUAUUCUUGAAAAAAAAUAAAAAAAUAAAAACCUGGUAUUAUUAAAUGUAUAUUAUUGAAAAGAAAAAUAAAAACUUUUAUCAAUAAUGAGAAAAUUAUCUACCAAUGUAUGAGGAGUGGCACUCACCAACCCCAAUUCCUACCUACUCAUCCAUAGAAUUGGUAUUAUUGUUACUCUUAUCAUGCCCAAUCAUCCAUGCAAAAUUAUUACUUUUACACAUGCAUAAAUGCAAGAUUUUAUAAUUUAAAAAAAUGUUGAUCACUCAAUAUUUUUUUAUUAAUCAAAAGGCUCAAUUGAUCGAAUAACAUAAUGAUUAAGGGAUAAUUUUUCCAUUGACUUAUCGAAUUAUUAAAAACUAGUGCGAUCGGAAAAAUUCAAACUUAACAAUCAUAUUUUUUAUAUUAGUAAAAAGAUCAACCAAAUAAUAUAUGGUUAGCCUAAAGAGGUUUUUUUUUUUUUUUUUUUUUUUGCCCCUUUUAAAGAUAUUGGGCAGAAAAUAAUAAUCAGCGGAGAUUAUAGCAUUAUUUCAUGUAAUUAAUUAAUAUAGUAUAUAAAUAAAUAAAUAAAUAUUAAUUAAAUGUUUAUAAUAAUAUUUACUAGUUAUUUAUUGUUUUUAGAUAAUUAUAUAUGAUAAUGAUAACAUAAAAAUAGUAAUUGGAAAAUAAAAUUAUUAAUGAUUUAUUAUUGAGGUGAAUAUAGCCCUGGGGAAUUGAUUAAAAAAAAAAAGGAGUUGAAAAAGUAGUUAAUGAAGAUUUAACACAUAUAAAUUAAACGUAGAAUAAAUUUGCAUGAAACAAAUAAGCUAAAUAUCCCUCUAAUAAGGAAUUGAUAGCUGAUAAAGCUUACAUAAGUUUCAAUUUACUAUUGAUCUCAUCAACUGAAUUUAGGGCUUUUUCUUAUCAAUGUAUUAUAUUUUGACUAUAUUAAUUUUAUAAAAAAAUAUAUUAAUAAAUUAUUUUUUGAAAUUAAUAUUUUAGGAUAAUCUUAUUUAUAAAAAUUUUAAAUUAAAAUAAAUAAGUAGAAAAUAUUACUACACAAAAAUUAAAUAAUUAUUUUUAUUUAUAAACUAUCAUAAACAACUAUCAUAAACAAUUAAAUAAUUAAAUAAUGAUUACUAUUAUCAACUAUCAUAAACAACUAAAUCAACCAUUUUAUUUUUCAAAUAAUCGAUUUUUAAAUAAAAACAUGAAUAUGUAUAGUUGUGAGAUCUAUUUAGAUUCAAAUGAGUUUAAAAUUUAAAAAAAAAAAUUCAAAUGAUGAAUUAGCCUAAAUUAAAAUUUUUUUAAUGCAUUUAGAGCAAUAAAAAAUUAUAGAGUAUAUAUAUAUAUAUAUAUAUAUAUAUAUAUAUAUACAUGCGCACGCGCAUAAUUUUGAAAAGAGGCAUGACCAAAUCCAUCUAGGUGGCCUUAAUAUUUUUUUUCUAUUCAAUUAUAAGAAUAUCUCUCAAUUUUUAUAUUUAUCCUACACAUAUCUUAUCCUACACGAAAAAAAAAACGAGGAUAAUGUAAGAUAUGAAUUAUAAGAAUGUCACUCAACUUUUAUAUUGACCCAACACAUAUCUUGGUUCAUGUGGAGGGAAAAAAAAGAUAAUAUAAGAUAAGUAAAGAAUUAUUAGAAUCUAAUAGGGUCUUUUCUGAUAUUAAAAUAAAUAAAAAAACUUUGUGGGACGCUCCUAUAUUAAAGUGAAUUAUUAUUGGAAAUUCAAGAGAAAUUUAAUUAUUUGCACUGAUGGCUUUGAUUUUUUUUUUUUUCUUAACAAAAUUAACAAUUCUAUUCCAUGUAAUUCAACAAUACAUAUGAAAAAUACUUGUAAUGUUAAUAAUUGUACAUUAAAAUCAGUUGCACAUUGUUAAGCUUUAACUCAUAUUAUAAUUAUUGAAAUUAUUGAGAGAGAGAAAAUAGGAAAAAAAAGAUUGAUUAAUUUAUAUUAUAAAAUAAAAAUACUAUGAACUUUGCAUAUGGUUGGAAUUGCAUUUUAUUUUAAAUUUUAACUAUAAGGUGCAAUUAAUUAUUUUAGAGUAUAAUAACAUUUUGAAUUUUACGUAUUGUUGCAAUUACACCUUAUUUUUUCCCUAAAUUUUAAUUACAAAGCGUCAGUAAUUUCAAAAUGCUGUUACAUGAUAAUUGUUAAAAGGGUUAAAUAUUUUCGGUUCCCUAAAUUAUGGCCAAAAUAACACCUAGGAUCCUCAACGUUUGAGUAAUUAUCUUGAAUGACCUAAAUAAUGUUGUCGUUAUACUACGAGGCCCUGCCAUCCAAAUUCUUACCUUUUUCCAUUUACAUGGAUUGAAAAGCAAACAUUAAGUGGGGAGUUAAAUGUUUUGGGGUCCCUAAAUUAUGACCAAAUCAACACUUAAGUCCCUCUACGUUCGAGUAAUUAUUCGUUUUUCAGUUCAUAUAAACGCAAAAAAAGUAGAAAUUUAGAUGGAAAUUCCAUUCGACGUGCCUAUCUAAGAUUUUUCCUCUUUGUGCUUUUUCUCAUAUUUGCGGAUGCGCUUUACACCCUUUGUAGCUAAGAAUUUUUCGUAUUUUGUAAUAAACAAGAAAUAACAAAAAAAAAAAAAAAAAAUGAGUUGAGAAAUUUUCUUUUUACAAAAAUGCCCUUAUAUUGCUAAAGGUUUCUUUGACAUUGUGUGGCUAUAUAUAGCAGGCACUUCACCAUUAAAAAACCAAACAUUUCUUCUCCCCUUUACAACUAAAGAGAACCAUGAAGAGCUUCUCUAUUUUCUUUGUUCUUCUCCCUCUUCUCUUGGUGAGUGAACCAUUUCUUCAUACAUUAUUCUACUUAGCACCAACCCUAAAAUUCGAUUGAAAUUAAUGGCAAAGCUAUAUGUUGCAGUCUUUUUUUUUUUUUUUUUUUUUUAUUAAAGAAAUUAAUGCAGAUAUUAUUUUUUAUUAAUUAAAUGGCUAGCUUUGUUCCUAAUAUUAUUUAUACUUUCAGCGGAACUACAUAUAAUUUUUAGUGUGACAUUUUUUUCUCUCUAAUUUUUUCGUCUUAUUUCAAGAACAUGCUUUUUUUGAUUCUUUUAGUAGUUUGGCAAUAUAUAUGGACUCAAGCUCUAAUCUUUGUUCUUUUUUUCUUUAAUAGUUUGGUAUUACUGUGGACGCGAGGAAAGAACUACUAAAAGAUCAACAUCUCAACGAUGAUAAAACUUCUAUCGAGGAAAAUGGGCCAAAAUCUAUUUUAAACCAUCUCAACGAUGAGAAGUUCGAUCCCAAACGUCCCGAGUUGUUUGGUUAUCAUUACGACGACGAUGAUAAAAAAGACAAGGCAUCAUCAUUUGAGAAGUUCGAUUCCAAACGUCCUGAGUUUUUUGGUUAUCAUUACGACGACAAUGAUAAAAAAGACAAGUCAACGUCAUUUGAGAAGUUCGAUCCUAAACGUCCUGAGUUCCUUCACUAUGGUUACAACGAUGAUGAUAACACUGACAAAUUAUCAUCUGUUCAAAAUUUUGAGCGUUGGGUUCCUCUUCCAUCAUUUCAUUAUACUUACAGCGACGAU